rnacentral:rRNA from 1 species
CCUACGGGAGGCAGCAGUAGGGAAUAUUGCUCAAUGGGGGCAACCCUGAAGCAGCAACGCCGCGUGGAGGAUGAAGGCUUUCGGAUUGUAAACUUCUUUUGUUAGAGAAGAGAAUGACGGUAUAUAACGAAUAAGCACCGGCUAACUCCGUGCGAGCAGCCGCGGUAAUACGGAGGGUGCAAGCUUUAUUCGGAAUCACUGGGCGUAAAGAGCGCGUAGGCGGGAUAGCAAGUCAGAUGUGAAAUCCUAUGGCUUAACCAUAGAAAUGCAUUUGAAACUGUUAUUCUAGAGUAUGGGAGAGGUAGGUGGAAUUCUUGGUGUAGGGGUGAAAUGCGUAGAGAUCAAGAGGAAUACUCAUUGCGAAGGCGGCCGGCUGGAACAUAACUGACGCUGAUGCGCGAAAGCGUGGGGAGCAAACAGGAUUAGAUACCCCAGUAGUC